rnacentral:rRNA from 1 species
CAGCCGCCGCGGGAAUACGGAGGGGGCUAGCGUUGUUCGGAAUUACUGGGCGUAAAGCGCACGUAGGCGGCUUGGUAAGUUAGAGGUGAAAGCCUGGAGCUGAACUCCAGAAUUGCCUUUAAGACUGCCGAGCUAGCAGGUGAGAGAGGUAAGUGGAAUUCCGAGUGUAGAGGUGAAAUUCGUAGAUAUUCGGAAGAACACCAGUGGCGAAGGCGGCUUACUGGCUCAUACUGGACGCUGAGGUGCGAAAGCGUGGGGAGCAAACAGGAUUAGAUACCCCUGUAGUCCCUGUCUCUUAUAC